AGUGAACGCUGGCGGUAUGCCUAACACAUGCAAGUCGAACGGCAGCACAGUAAGAGCCUUCUCUUACGGGUGGCGAGUGGCGGACGGGUGAGGAAUACAUCGGAAUCUACUUUUUCGUGGGGGAUAACGUAGGGAAACUUACGCUAAUACCUCAUACGACCUACGGGUGAAAGCAGGGGAUCUUCGGACCUUGCGCGAUUGAAUGAGCCGAUGUCGGAUUAGCUAGUUGGCGGGGUAAAGGCCCACCAAGGCGACGAUCCGUAGCUGGUCUGAGAGGAUGAUCAGCCACACUGGAACUGAGACACGGUCCAGACUCCUACGGGAGGCAGCAGUGGGGAAUAUUGGACAAUGGGCGCAAGCCUGAUCCAGCCAUACCGCGUGAGUGAAGAAGGCCUUCGGGUUGUAAAGCCCUUUUGUUGGGAAAGAAAAGCAGCAGGUUAAAACCCCGCUGUUCUGACGGUACCCAAAGAAUAAGCACCGGCCAACUUCGUG
rnacentral:rRNA from 1 species